rnacentral:rRNA from 1 species
UACGUAGGUCCCGAGCGUUGUCCGGAUUUAUUGGGCGUAAAGCGAGCGCAGGUAGUUUAUUAAGUCUGGUGUAAAAGGCAGUGGCUCAAGCAUUGUAUGCAUUGGAAACUGGUAGACUUGAGUGCAGGAGAGGAGAGUGGAAUUCCAUGUGUAGCGGUGAAAUGCGUAGAUAUAUGGAGGAACACCGGUGGCGAAAGCGGCUCUCUGGCCUGUAACUGACACUGAGGCUCGAAAGCGUGGGGAGCAAACAGG